UUGCUACAGGGUGGGUCAUCUCCCGCAGCUGUGCCUGUGAGAGCCAAGUCUAGGGGAGCUGGAGGAGCAGGGGAGAUGGUACCUGGUACAGGCCAAGGCUAAGGGCAAGGCUCUCCAACAGCCAGUGUGACAAGUGACAGGUCUGCUUUACCACUGGAUCAGGCUGUGCCAGGUCCUUGGCCCCACCACCUGUUAGGAGGUGAGAGGAGAUCAAGUUUCAGAACCAAGCCACUUGGCCUCAGACCCUUCACACGUUCCAUCUGUGCCCCAAUGGACAUGAUUCAACUUCUCAGUGCUUUAGCGCCCUCCAGUGGAACAUGGGUGUCACAACAUGGAAUGCUGUGAGGAUGAAAUGAACUCGCCCAAUAAAGUCUGGAAGUGUCUCUUGACACAGAAGGAUCACCAUGGGAAUGUUAUAACAACAUCGCAAACCCUCUGGUUCUCUCCCAUCUAGAAGAUUUCCCAGCCUCCGAGGUGGUAAUCACCAUCAGGAUAUCGCUAGUGUUUGUGGUUUCUGACAGCAGACUUAGCAUUUUCAGUGCUACUAGAGCCUCUUCCUUAUUUCAGACCCUUGGUAAGGGAGGUCACAGGCACAGCUACAAGUGUGGAGAGAAACAUUUCGUUGUAUAAAUGGCGAAAUUGAAGCUCAGAAAGGAGAGUCAUGUGGUUUGUCGCACCAUGACGCUGGCAGCAGAGCCAGUUCUGAUUCCCUGUCUGCUCUUCUGUCUCUUCUCAGAGACACCACACACACCUCUGGCAGAAGAGGGAAAGUGGAGAUGGCCUGCAGGACAGCAGAACUGGACACACUUUCAAAAGACUAACUUGCUCCAGUUAGAAAAUGUGUUUUCUAUGACGUUUUAGUCAGUGGGUGAGUGUAUAAAUGACAGCAUCACCACGAAGACCAAGGGUGGAUCAACCACACCAUUUAGAUUUGUUUAAAUGUACUGCGAUGGUGCUAAUCAUUUUUAAAGUGUGUGUGUGUGUGUGUGUGUGUAUGUCCCUGUCUGUACACACACACACACACACACACACACACACACACACACACACACCUGUGGAGAUCAAUCUCAGGAGUGCUGUCUAUCUUCCUUUUGAAAUGCUCUCUAGGUAGCCUGGUACUCACCCAUUAGGUUAGACUGCUGGACAGCAAGUUCAGGGUUCCUCCUCCUGUCCUAGUCUCCCCAGGGCUGGGAUUACCCAUCUAUGCCACUGCACACAGCUCCUUUUAUUUGGGCUCUUGGGCACUGAACUCUGCCCCUCAUGCUUGUGCGGAGAGCACUUUACCAACUUUACCAACUGAGCUAUUCCCCUAUCCCCAUGGCCAAUCUUGAUUGUUAACCUGCGGGUGUAUAGAGCCACACCUUUGGGCGUAUCUGUUAUGGUGUUUUCAGAAAAGUUUGUCUGAGAUGGGAAGACCCACUCUGGAUGUGGAUGGCAUCAUUUCAUGGCUGAGGUUCCAGACCGAAUCAGGAGAAAGUGAGCUGAGCACCAGCAUUCAUUUCUUUCUGCUCCCUGGCUGCAAACCCAAGUUGACCGUGCUUUUGUGGCCAUGCCUCCCCUGCCUCAGUGAAUUGUCCCCUCAGACUAUAAGACUUUCUUUAUGUUGCUUUUGCUGAAUACUUAGUCACAGCAGUGAGAAAACGAACUGAGACCUCAAACAGCCUGUGAUGUUUUCACAAGGACACCAGGUCUACCAACAAAUUUCCCAGAACUGAUCUUUGAGUGACACACGGCUCUGGAAACACCCCGUGUUCUAUGGAGGCCACAGUAGAGACACAGAUAAGCUUGGCUUUGAGUGGAUGCCACAGGACAGGGGCUGUUGGAGCCCAAAGAGCAACAGAAAGGAGACACCUGUGCAGGAGGCUGGAGAUGGAGACACGAUUUUGAGGCAGGCAGCUGCCCUCCCUCACAUGGAAACAGCCCCCUCUCUCUUCAAUAUUGACCUGCAGAGAAAGAAGAAGAAAAACCAUCUUAAUACUUUUUCAGUGGAUCAUGAAGCGGUUUAUUUAAUAUUAUUUGGAUAACAAGCCUCCACAUGAAUGGGAUUCGAAUGUCAAUUGUCUUAGGGGAAAAAAGAUUUAUUGGUUGGUAAAUAUUGAGAAAGCAAAGCUGAUAAAGACCGGCUUCAGCUGCGGCCUCUGCUGGGAACGGGAGAACAGGCCUGUGUUGUAUUUUGGGGCCCUGGGAAGGCAAAAACUGGUGAAUGUCUGCCUUUGUUGGUGGGUGUAAAAGUGGAGCCCACCACAAAUAAUUUCUUAUUUCUGUUCACAUAGAUUUUAAAUUAUGUAGCUCCCCUACCUUGUUAAGUAUUAAAGCAGUCUUGUUUAAGGAAAAGGCAUUCCAAUAAUGAAGCUUAUGUAGCUUGUUUCCAGACAUCAAUAUCUGGCUUUGAGUGGCACAAAGAGAUAAAGGAAUGUGGAUUCACAGCCCCCUAGGAUGUUUGGCAAUUCUAAUUCAACCCGGCUGCAAAUGGACACAAGACUGUUGUGACUUCUCCUGAGGAGAAAGAAGGCUGGGUCUCUUUGGUAAAGAAUCUCUUUCCUGAAAUGGCUGAGAGCGACAGAAGCUGGAUUCAGAAGCUCACAGAGCUGGGGAAUGAGGGCUGCAGCAAGACUCAUGAAGGGAAAGGCUGCCAUCUUGUGGUCAGAUUGGUGCUCUGCACUCCUGCAAACCAUCUCUCUGCAGAAGCUCAGGACCCUGGUGGGAAGGAGCCUGCAAGCUGGAUUUCUGCAGGACAGUGUGAAUGCCUGUAGGAAUCACCCAGACAGUGGCCAAGUGCCUUCCAAGAAUGCGGCUGCCACGUUUUAAGGAAACCCAGGCUGUUCUGAUGUGUAAGCCAUGUUUAUUGGCCUUGGAGAGUGCAGCAGCAUGUGGAGAGCCCACAGAGUGGAAUCCGGGGACAACUUUGCUAAGCACCUGAGUGGCCAAGCAGCUUUGAGAAAAAGUGAGAAGACUGAUCCAGGACAUGUUUUCCAGAAGCACUUACCAGGCACCAGAUUCUCCAUGUGGGCUUUCUUUGUGGUCAUUUUCCACCGGCCAAAAGCUUGUUGGAAAUGGAAUCAAGCGUGUGCGUGUGACAUACUGCUCAUUCAGUUGCCUCCAAGCACCAACAGGUGGUGGUAAUGGGCUGGGGAAAAGUACCUGCCGAAGUGGGCGGUGCAUCCCAGUGACAGCAACUUUAAAUGAAAAGUGCUUUCAGAGAAGCCUGGUUAGUUCAUUAGACUGAUUAGUUAUUCGGAUGGUGCGCUGCAAACUCUAACUCUGCCACCCUGCUGACUCGGGGAGGUGCUGGUCUUCAAGGAGCAUUCAUUGUUUUUAGUUUUAGAAUAUCUAUCCCACUCUCCAGAAAUGAGGCUGAGGAUAAGCACUGACAUCAUGCAAUCUCCAGGGGUGGACGGAAACUGUGCUAACUGUGGUCCUUCUGGAAGGGGACGGAUGUUCACCAUGAUGCCACGUACAGGCUACAAGCCAGAGGAUCCAGGUCCAGCUGAAGGAAGAACAAAUGUGCUAAGAACUGUCUGGACAGUCUCUUGUGUGGUGGCCAGAAGGGUUUGUGGAGGCUUGCAGGACGUGAGAGAUGUGACUGAAAACUGGAUUUCUGGAAGGAUGGACUGCUCAGGGACACUGUGGUGAAGGAAUCAAAGUCUGGAAGGGAUUAAGAGAAAGGAGUUGUCUGGAAUGUUCUGUUCCAGAUACCUGUCCUGGACUACCUCCCAGUCCUUUAGAACAUUAUAGAUUAAUGUUUCUUUUUAUUACAAUCUCAUUAAUUUAUUUUUGUCUGUGUGUAUGAGUGUGUGCCCACAUGUGGAGGUCAGAGGACAACUUGCAGGAGUCAGUUGUGUUCUCUAUCCAUUUUUUGUGUCCCUAGGAUUAAAUUUUGGCCAUCAGCCUUGGCAGGAGUCACCCUUACACACCGAACCAUCUUGCCAGACCAGAUUAAUGUCUCAAUUAGUAAAGGUGGCACCAUGAAACAUUGCUGCCCCCUUUAAUAUUAACAUUAAUGUUUAAUACCUGAAAACAUUUUAUCUGGCAGAUUCUCCUGUGUUCUACAAAUGUUUUGUGUGAUUUGUAUGGAGAGACAAUGAAGAACAUUGCUCAGCUGAAAGGACCUCAAGUGUCCCGGAUUUAAGGAGAUGUAAUUUGGGUUUUUUUUUUUUUGGAUUUAAUUUCUUUUUAAAGAAUAAUGCAUUUAAAAUAUUUUUUGAUGAUAUGCCAUACCAGAAAUACAUUGUCAAUGUGAGCCAGUAUGCACAUUAUUGUAUAUA